AAUUGGUAUCUUGUCUGAAAGGUCACCUCCCUAUUCACCUCCGUGUUUGUUCAAUGUUGAAAAAAAUGGCAGAUUCUCCUUGUUCAAUUUAAUUUCUGUACCAUUUUCAAAGUCAAUUUUUCUCCUUAUUUAAAUACAUAGACUCAUGUCUCCUCUUCCGAUUUUUCUUAUUUGUUGCUUUAACUUCAAAUUUAUGGAUUAUAUUUGUAACAUCCUUAAUCACAUCUGUUAAUUGUACCAAAACCCCAUUAUAUUGUCUUCAAUCUUAAAUUGGUAAUAUUUUUUAUUUUGAAGUGAAAAACUAAGCUUAAAUAUGCAGUUUUCAUUAUGAAAUCAAAAUGGGUCUCUGUAUUUUGUUAAUUUUGCUCUAUUUACAAUGACCAUUUUCAGUAAAAGUUGUAUUCACUAACUCCAGAUGGUUAUUUAUUAGUUGACAUUAUGUAUGCUUUUAUCAUUUGUAGGUUGUUUGACUAAUUUGAAAUUGUUUAUUAUUGGAUAGCAGACUAAUGAUAGACAGAUUUCGAUCUAUGUAUUAUGUUCCUUAUAUUGUGGUAUUAGCAAUAUCGGAUAAGCCCUCUUCUUCCUUAUUUUUUCUAUCAUUUUUUGAUUUGAACAUGCAGAUGAGAUCUGAGCUAGAUGCAGCUGAAAAUGAUCAAUAUAAGUUGGAAUGACAUGGUUAAGUUACCAAAAAUUUGUGUGUAUAAGGAUUCUUCGGGUUUGUGUUGUGCUUUUCUAUUGUUGUAUAGAUGAAUCUAUGGCAAAUAUUAUGUAAUUUAUAUCUAACAUGGUGUAAUGUGCUGUUAUUUGGGGUUGUUUUCUUGUUAUUGUUGUGAUUGCCAUUGUUUUGAUUAGCUUGGUAAUAUCUUCAUGUUGAUUUAUUUUUAAAUGUGGAUUGAUUCUACUUUUGUCACAAAUGUUCAAUAAGUUAAACUAAAUUAAAAACAUUUGUUCAGCUAUUGUCAGAAGUUUGCCUUGGUUGAGAAAACCUGCACUUUUUGAGGAAACGUAGAAAAAUAUAGGUAUUCAAGCCAUUCUUGAUAGUUGUCUAUGUAUUGAAGACGUUUAAUACUCUAAUAACUAUAUUUAGUGACAGUAUGAUUAUGGGAGGAAUCUACAGUUUGAUUUAAAAAAAAAGGUCGUCCAGUUAAGAUCAAGUAUUUUGCUAAAGUUUAGGGUAGGUUCUUUCUCUUAUUUCGUCUGUUGAAGCAGCGACGAAGUUAAGAUUUGAAGUCUGUGGGUUCUAAAUUUAGGUAAUGCUCUACAGGUCAUGCUCGUACCGCUCAUCUCUUGUGUUGUAGGUUCGCACGCGAUCAAUUUAUAUGUUUCUUCUUGAUUUUUAAAGCUACUGGGUUCACCCGAACCCCGUAUAAAGUUGUAGCUCCCAUGGUUGAAGUAAUUAUAUAGUAAUAGUUAUGAAAAAUUUAUUAUUUUACAUGUAGAGGAAGAAGUAGAUAAGUUUUGCUUAAUGAUGCCUAAAAAGGAAAUUGAUUUUCUACCCAAUUGUUGAUAGCAAAAACAAUAGAAAGAAGAAGUUUUGCACUAUUUGCACGCCUCCAAAACUACUAUAUUCCCCUGGACUUGACAUACAUUUAGCUGUGAACAAAUUAUCAAAGUUUUGCACUAUUUGAUAUAUUUUGAUGUUGCAGUUUGACCAGAUCAGGUAUCAUGAAUAUUGCACUAUUCUCCCAUUUGGGCUUUGGUUUAUGUGUUUUGUUUUCUUAUCCAAAUUUAAUUUUUUUUUUCUACAGAUAUGUCUGGGAAAUGUUUCUUCGCCGGAAAACUGGUGAAAGGAUUUUGUGAAGAGGUCUAAUAUUUGUGGUUUAAUUUGGGCUCAUAUUAGUAAGUGGGGUUAUGUUAAGAAGUUUUUGGUCAAGCAAAGGCUGUACCUUCUACUGUAACUGAUUCUUUUCAGUUGUUAGCAUUUGCCUGCAUUUGCCUGCAGAUCGAGGAAAGGUUUUUGGUCAGCUGUCCGUUGAAGUUAUCUCCGAUUGCCUCAGGUGUUUUUGAGAGGUUUUCUAUAUUUACCGUACGAAAGCUAAUUUGCAUCCACCUUAAAUUUCUUCUAAAUUAGUGCCUCCGAUCCUUAGGCGGAAGAUCUCAAUCAGAUUCUCAUGGCUUAUUUUUCUGAAGGUCUAUAAUAUUUACAACAGUUCUCUCAAUUUGUUGAUUCCCGUGUCUUCUGAGGUAUUGAGACUCGUCUCUCUUAUCUGGGAGUCUGACUCGAUCUAUUUUAUGGGCAGAGAUCGGGUUGGACUCCCAUUUACAUUCUGCCUCUCGUCCUUAUCCUUGUCUUGCUUUUAGGCCUCGUUCUCAUCCUUAAGGGUGAUCCACCCUUAGUAUGUAAAUAGAUUCUACUGGUUAUGGAAUACACAUGGAUGGAGAAGACAUCGCACUGAAUACCAGCUGAUUUGGCACCGUAUUUAGUUCUAGACAUAGUAGUAAUUCUCUAGUAGUGGACAUAUUUUAGUGAUCUAGAAGAGAUCUAGAACAACAGAUUGACAUAACGACACAACUUCCAAUCCCCACAUACGAUGCUAAACUAUUUACCAGAAAAAUCAUCAUUUUGGUUAACAAAUUUAUACACCUAGUAAAUACAGAUAUCAUAUAAUAACUGCUUAAAAUGUGGUUUAGAAGAUAUUGAAUAUUUUGGGUACAAAACUUCCUAGAGCAUACAAAACUUUUGCUAGCAUAAUUACAACGAUAAUAAUAAGAAAUCCCCCUGCUUAGAGACAGAACUGACAUGUUCUCACCAGAAAGGGCAUACAUAUGUUUGCAAGAGGUUUUCCUUCUUUUUCUUUUGUUUGGAAGUCUUUUCUACAAAUGCUAUUAUUUUAAGUAUAUCUAAUUGAAAAAUUGAUAUAUUGAACGAUGAUGGAAUUUUUAGAUUAAAAAGAAAGGUAAUUAAUAGGAAUAUUAACUGCACUCUUUGAAAUUUCUUACUAAGCUUGUGCUUAAGCUCUAUGCCUUUAUCUUAGCGCGUGUUAGAUGCUCUUCUUAAGAUUCUUCCAAGAAAUGGUACACUGUGUAUUACUACCACUUGUUGAGCCUAUUGACUAAUUAAGCAAAAUAAAAUACAAUUUUACACUCUUCAUUAGGAAACUCUUUCAAAUUUCAACUAAUUCCUCCAUUUAUCUGAAUUAUGUAAGAAUAUGCAAAGACAGGGAGGAUCUAUAUAACUGAAUUUCAACAAUUGAUGAGCAUGCAACUCAGAUGCAUGUGUCUCUCAAUUAGUGAGCGAUGCUAGUGAAUCAUUUAUACGGGAAGAUGAUGCCACCCAAUUCUUGAAUGUCAUUCAUGCUGCAGAGGAUGCAGAUGUUUAUCAUGACUCAGUGAAGUAUUUGCUGAUGGUGAGGCAAAAGACCAAGGAGAAUAGCCCAAGGUUGACAGUGAAAUCAUUUAUGCCUAUGCCUUAUAUGUGGUUAUGAAGAUCAUAUUUGCACUAUUGAGAAUAAAACUGGUUGAAGGAUGCUACUCAUAUUAGUAAGUGGUAUUGCGAUAAGAAGAUUGUGGUGAAGCAAAGACUGAACCUCCUACUGUCACAAUUCCUCAUUUGAAGACCAUGGUUUCUGAUAUAUCUCCAACAUAAAUCGCCCCAUGUGCUGAAGCUUAUAAUUUUCAUAAUAUAGUUGAAAUAACAGUGCUUCAUGUAUGUUACAAUUGAGCAGCAAGUUCAGAACUUAUAAUUGGUUAAUGCGGAACUUCUGGUGCACCGGUUAGUUCAUAUUAAUGAAAUUGUUUAUUUCACAAGUGUUCAUAUUUUCUUUUAUCUAAAAUCUUAUAUUAAAGCUUGCUUCCUGUAUAAUUUUUUUCUAUUCAUAUAGACAUACUUAGCUAUAAUUUGAUAGUAAAAGCCUGUUGCCUGCAUUAUUCUUUUGUAUUAUAUUGACUGUGUGACAUCUAUAUUAUGUAAUAAAUGAUUGAAACUUGUGUUUGAAAUCAUAGAUAUAUAUAGAAUGUAAAUAUAUAUAUAUUUAUUUGUAAAUCACAGUGAAAUCUUCAUGAUUUCAUUUUAUGUUUGUGCAAACAUAAUUGUUUUCUAGUUUUUUUUUUCCUAAACUUAUUGCAUCUAGAAUAACACCACCCAUUAUCUAGGUUUAACAAUUUAGUUGUAGCAACAAUUCAACAAUGAGAACAUUCCUUUUUAAAGAUUGAAAAAAUAUGUUAGUGUAGGACUAUAGUAUUAGACAGAUAUAUUUGAAAAAAAAUAUGGUCUGAUAGGACUAUUGAUGUGUAACAGAUUUUGUUGUUGCAUUUGGGAAUAAAUUUGGGCAACUAAAAUAGAAAGAUAAAUUGUAAAAAAUUAGAGAGUGAAGAAUGAUAAAAAAGUGAAAAGUUAAACAUUGGAUGGAA